rnacentral:lncRNA from 1 species
GGGGGAGGGGAGAAGGCGGCCGGCGCCUGCAGCCUCUGCCCAGGAAAACGGAGGGCAGGAAACGUCUCCAGCCCCCCUCCCCAACUGUCAAAUCCUAGCCCGGCCGUGGUACUCCCAGGACACGUGUCUACUGGAUCUCUCCCUGUCCGGCCCAAGGACUUCCUGAAACCCCCGCCUCCGGCUGCCCGAAAAAACCGUGAGUCAGUUCGGAGGAGAGAAAGCUCCAGGAACCCGACUCUGGCGGCAGCAGCCAGAGCGCUGGGAUCCCGGACCCAGCGUCCAGAACUUCAUUCAAGCGCCCAGACCGCCCUCCAGAAAGGGGAAGCCCAGAUGGCCCGGCGAGGAUGGGAACUGGCUGCGGUUUGUCACUAGGAAUUGUUACGAAUGUCGCAGACUGGUGAAGCCCUAGCUGAAGUCCUAACCUCUACCAGAGCGGCUGCUAUCAACCAAAGUGACAGGAGAACCAUCACGAGUCGAG